CCAGACUCCUACGGGAGGCAGCAGUGGGGAAUAUUGGGCAAUGGGCGCAAGCCUGACCCAGCAACGCCGCGUGAAGGAAGAAGGCUUUCGGAUUGUAAACUUCUUUUAAGAGGGAAGAGCAGAAGACGGUACCUCUUGAAUAAGCCACGGCUAACUACGUGCCAGCAGCCGCGGUAAUACGUAGGUGGCAAGCGUUGUCCGGAUUUACUGGGUGUAAAGGGCGUGCAGCCGGGAAGACAAGUCAGAUGUGAAAUCCCGCGGCUCAACCGCGGAACUGCAUUUGAAACUGUUUUUCUUGAGUACCGGAGAGGUCAUCGGAAUUCCUUGUGUAGCGGUGAAAUGCGUAGAUAUAAGGGAGAACACCAGUGGCGAAGGCGGCCUACUGGACGGUGACUGACGCUGAGGCUCGAAAGCGUGGGGAGCAAACAGGAUUAGAUACCCCGGUAC
rnacentral:rRNA from 1 species